AUUCAAGUCUGCCAUAUCUAGGAGCCUGCAUCCUAGCUUCAACUGGGUUAGGAUCAUGGCCGGGUUCUCGUUGCUUGCGGGUAAUACUUCCUGUCUCGCCUUGCUGCCCCUCCACUCGCGUGGCAGCCAAGUCCCUCGAGAGCUCUUCAAUGCGGGCAGAAAGUUGUUCUCGCUCUACUCGAUCUCUUUGACAAUCCUCUUG
rnacentral:misc_RNA from 1 species